UGGGAGUUGGUGCUAGAUCUGGACUAAGUUCGGUGAUUUAUUAAUAUUAUGUUUUGGUUCAAGUUUGGCAAUUAAUGGCAUGAGUUUUGGUUCAAGUCCGAAAAAUGAAGAUGAUAAUGAUAUGAGUUUUGGUUUGAGUCUAACAUUAAGAGGUUGUUUAUGGUAUUUUAUGGCAUGGAUGGAUUCAUGGUUAUGGUUUAAUAUUGGUAAAUUUAUGGAACUUCAGUCAUUUACACACUUGAUUGCACCCUCCGGGCUUAUGGGGGCCCGCA
rnacentral:lncRNA from 1 species